CAGUCGACGAUGAUCCGCGUGCUUGCACCGGGGAUUAGUGGCGAACGGGUGAGUAACACGUGAGUAACCUGCCCUUGACUCUGGGAUAAGCCUGGGAAACUGGGUCUAAUACUGGAUACGACCUUCCCACGCAUGUGGUGUUGGUGGAAAGCUUUUGUGGUUUUGGAUGGACUCGCGGCCUAUCAGCUUGUUGGUGGGGUAAUGGCCUACCAAGGCGACGACGGGUAGCCGGCCUGAGAGGGUGGACGGCCACACUGGGACUGAGACACGGCCCAGACUCCUACGGGAGGCAGCAGUGGGGAAUAUUGCACAAUGGGCGCAAGCCUGAUGCAGCGACGCCGCGUGAGGGAUGAAGGCCUUCGGGUUGUAAACCUCUUUCAGUAGGGAAGAAGCGAAAGUGACGGUACCUGCAGAAGAAGCGCCGGCUAACUACGUGCCAGCAGCCGCGGUAAUACGUAGGGCGCAAGCGUUAUCCGGAAUUAUUGGGCGUAAAGAGCUCGUAGGCGGUUUGUCGCGUCUGCCGUGAAAGUCCGGGGCUUAACUCCGGAUCUGCGGUGGGUACGGGCAGACUUGAGUGAUGUAGGGGAGACUGGAAUUCCUGGUGUAGCGGUGAAAUGCGCAGAUAUCAGGAGGAACACCGAUGGCGAAGGCAGGUCUCUGGGCAUUAACUGACGCUGAGGAGCGAAAGCAUGGGGAGCGAACAGGAUUAGAUACCCUGGUAGUCCAUG
rnacentral:rRNA from 1 species